GUUGGAAGCUGCCUCUCUUUUAAAUCAUCAUCAUUGAGGAGAAACUGAUAUGUCCCUCCUCAUCCACCCACAAUUCACCUCCCAGCCUAGUGGUGAUGAGACGUGGAGGGUAGCUGUUCAAACGCUACCUCCGUCUGGGACAAAAUGCAUCUCUUGUCUGGCAAGGAGAUGGGUUUAUCUGUCAGCAGCUCCCAGAGCCUCAGCAUCAAGAACGAAGGCUCCUGGGGAGUGGAGCCCUCAGGCCUGUCUCCCAGAUCUGAGCAUCAGCUGCCCCCUUGAAUUUUGGCCCAGAGUACGUUCUUCACUUUUAUAGAAGGUUGUUUGUGACUACCCUGCCUUCACAGCCAGCCUUUUGUUUCUCACAAAUG
ensembl:lncRNA